GCUGUCACCAAGGUGACACCGGGCUCCCCCAAGGUGUCACUGGGGGUCCUCCAACCACUCCAGGAGCUUCACUGGGGUCCCCUGGCCGUCCCCAAGGUGUCACUGGGGUCCUCUGUCUAUCCCCAAGAUGUCACUGGGGGUCCUCCAACCACCCCAGGAGUGUCACUGGGGGUCCCCAAGGUGUCACCGGGGUCUUCUGUCUGUCCCCAAGGUGUCACUGGGGUCCUCUGUCUGUCCACAGGAUGUCACCGGAGGUCCUCCAACUACACCAGGACCACUGCCAGGAUCCCCCAAAGUGUCACCAGGGCACCUCCAACAGCUCCAGGACCUCCACUGAGGUCCUCCAAGGUCUCACCGGGGUCCCCCAAAGU
rnacentral:lncRNA from 1 species